UCGUGUUUGUUUGUCUCGUUCGAUUGGUCCCAGAGCGCCGCCUUACUUUUACCAAGUGUUGAAGUAAUGAACGAAUGGAACGGUGCAGUAUAAACGUGUAAAUUUUGACAGCAGCAAUUUUCCAACACAAACAAAUUCCAACUGAUUCCCACACAAGCGACAGUCACUGCCGGGAAAAGCAUGAGUUGUUAGCAAACGCUACCGGCCUCGGCUUGUAAAAUAUCAUGAAAAUCACACAAAGUGCUCUAUUACAGAAUACAAGGUUGAGAAGAAGAAGCAACAAAAUGCGAGACACAACGGCGUCGGCAAGCGGACGCUGCAUUAUUCUGCGGAACUUUGAUGACUUACAUGAAAAUAAUUCUUUACAUGAAUUAAGAUUUACCUCCGUUUAAUCUACGAUAUGAAAACCGAAUGAAAUAAACAUGAAUUACAGAGCCGUGGUCGGUUAACUAAGAAA